rnacentral:rRNA from 1 species
UACAGAGGUCCCAAGCGUUGUUCGGAUUCACUGGGCGUAAAGGGUGCGUAGGUGGUGAAGUAAGUCGGAUGUGAAAUCUUGGAGCUUAACUCCGAAACUGCAUUCGAUACUGCCGUGCUUGAGGACUGGAGAGGAGACUGGAAUUUACGGUGUAGCGGUGAAAUGCGUAGAUAUCGUAAGGAAGACCAGUGGCGAAGGCGGGUCUCUGGACAGUUCCUGACGCUGAGGCACGAAGGUCAGGGGAGCAAACGGG